rnacentral:rRNA from 1 species
UGGACGAAAGUCUGACGGAGCAACGCCGCGUGAGUGAUGAAGGUUUUCGGAUCGUAAAACUCUGUUGUUAGGGAAGAACAAGUACCGUUCGAAUAGGGCGGUACCUUGACGGUACCUAACCAGAAAGCCACGGCUAACUACGUGCCAGCAGCCGCGGUAAUACGUAGGUGGCAAGCGUUGUCCGGAAUCAUUGGGCGUAAAGCGCGCGCAGGUGGUUCCUUAAGUCUGAUGUGAAAGCCCCCGGCUCAACCGGGGAGGGUCAUUGGAAACUGGGGAACUUGAGUGCAGAAGAGGAAAGUGGAAUUCCACGUGUAGCGGUGAAAUGCGUAGAGAUGUGGAGGAACACCAGUGGCGAAGGCGACUUUCUGGUCUGUAACUGACGCUGAGGCGCGAAAGCGUGGGGAGCAAACAGGAUUAGAUACCCUGGUAGUCCACGCCGUAAACGAUGAGUGCUAAGUGUUAGGGGGUUUCCGCCCCUUAGUGCUGCAGCUAACGCAUUAAGCACUCCGCCUGAGGAGUACG